rnacentral:rRNA from 1 species
UACGAAGGGGGGCUAGCGUUGUUCGGAAUUACUGGGCGUAAAGCGCGCGUAGGCGGACAUUUAAGUCAGGGGUGAAAUCCCGAGGCUCAACCUCGGAACUGCCUUUGAUACUGCAAAUCUCGAGUCCGGAAGAGGUGAGUGGAAUUCCUAGUGUAGAGGUGAAAUUCGUAGAUAUUAGGAAGAACACCAGUGGCGAAAGGCGGCUCACUGGCCCGGGUACUGACGCUGAGGUGCGAAAGCGUGGGGAGCAAACAGG